rnacentral:rRNA from 1 species
AUGAACAACCAGGGGAGUUUCAUGCGUAACCAUGAACAUGAAAGAUGGUGUACGUCCUCUGGUCUUUUAAGUCCAAACAAUUUUUCUGCAAUGGGUCACUUAGCUCAGCCGGCGAACACACAUAGAAACUCGUGCACGGGGUCAUUCAUCCAUGAUGGUAGAAUGUAUAAGUAUGUCGCACCAAAACUGUCGGAUGCGGGAAGAUUCGCUCGCUGCAUUGACCCUCCUGCCAACCUAUACAACAACAUACCCAAUGAAACAACUUUAGAUGAAUUUCCUUCAUAUAGUUUUGGCGAUUCCUAUGCUGGCCGCAUGCGUGGUAAGCUGGUGGAGACAAACAAAGGCAAGUUUCCAGACCCUUCAUACAAUUCUGCAACACAUGCGACAUUGACUGGUGUUCUUCAUAGAGGUAUAAUAUCUCCCAUCUCAUCAAAUGUGAACGUAGAGGUGCAAAAUGAAAUGGGAACGGUCAUGAGAAAUGCUACAUCUAUGGCAGGCUUCAAUGAGCAGAUUGUUCCAAAAAAUGCACAUAGCAACCAAAGCUUCGUAGGGAUGUUGAAUGCCUGCGGCAGUCGUCCAGUGUCAUUAUCUGAGAUGGUUAAGGGAGGGAGCAGCAGUAUACCAGUAGAUGGCUUGAGUGAGCGGAUGACACCAUUCAACAUAGCAAAAAACACAAGCUCAAUCGGAAUGAUGUUGAAUGAAAACACCGCACCUGGUAACAGUAGAAUCUCAAUGACACAUACAUAUAUGGUUAAUAGUGGAAGAAAUAUUUCUACACUUUCCAACCAUCAGACAGAAAAUGUCGUCGCAAUGACUGACAAGCUUGAUGGCCAGGAUGCAGUUAGCAAUCACCCUAUGCAAGUGGGUACUAUUGGUCAGCAUGCACUUAAUGAUCAAUUUAAUGACAUCAAUGACUUCUCAUGGGAUGAUUUUUUUCUCAACCCGCUGGAUGCAGAUUUCACUAUCGAGGAUGAUUUGAUGGGUGGAGAAGAAUAG